CAGAGAUGCAACGAAAAUCACGAUUUAGCAAACAAAGGGGAGCUGUUAAAAAUUGAGAAUGGAUGCAAUGAGAGGGACAAGGUGGAAUUCAGAUGCUGCUUAGGGCUGAGCAAGAGGCACAGAAAAUCAUCACCGAUGCUAGAAACUUGAAGAUGACAAAACUAAAACAAGCAAAAGACGAGGCCGAGCGGGACUCUGCAGCGUAUCGCUCUGCUUUAGAGGCAGAAUAUCAAAGAAAAAUUUCCAAG